rnacentral:rRNA from 1 species
CCCUUAGAUGUUCUGGGCUGCACGCGCGCUACACUGAUGCGUUCAACGAGUUUAUGACCUUGCCCGAUAGGGUUGGGUAAUCUUUUUAAAUCGCAUCGUGAUGGGGAUAGAUUAUUGCAAUUAUUAAUCUUCAACGAGGAAUUCCUAGUAAGCGCGAGUCAUCAGCUCGUGCUGAUUACGUCCCUGCCCUUUGUACACACCGCCCGUCGCUCCUACCGAUUGAAUAACAGGGUGAAAUCUUCGGACCGUGGCAUUCAUUUGGCCUAGCCAAAUCUUGCUCGUGGGAGGUCGCUUAAAUCCUGUUAUUUAGAGGAAGUAAAAGUCGUAACA